GACGAACCGUGCGAACGUUGUUCGGAUUUACUGGGCGUAAAGGGCGCGUAGGCGGCCAGCACAAGUCAGUUGUGAAAUCUCCGAGCUUAACUCGGAAAGGUCAACUGAUACUGUGCGGCUAGAGUGCGGAAGGGGCAACUGGAAUUCUUGGUGUAGCGGUGAAAUGCGUAGAUAUCAAGAGGAACACCUGCGGCGAAGGCGGGUUGCUGGGCCGACACUGACGCUGAUGCGCGAAAGCUAGGGGAGCGAACGGG
rnacentral:rRNA from 1 species